AGUGAACGCUGGCGGCAGGCCUAACACAUGCAAGUCGAGCGGCAGCGCGUCCGACCACCCUCGGGUGGUCGGAUGGCGGCGAGCGGCGGACGGGUGAGGAAUGCAUCGGAAUCUGCCUCGUUGUGGGGGAUAACGUAGGGAAACUUACGCUAAUACCGCAUACGACCUACGGGUGAAAGUGGGGGACCUUCGGGCCUCACGCGAUGAGAUGAGCCGAUGCCGGAUUAGCUAGUUGGCGGGGUAAAGGCCCACCAAGGCGACGAUCCGUAGCUGGUCUGAGAGGAUGAUCAGCCACACUGGAACUGAGACACGGUCCAGACUCCUACGGGAGGCAGCAGUGGGGAAUAUUGGACAAUGGGGGCAACCCUGAUCCAGCCAUGCCGCGUGUGUGAAGAAGGCCUUCGGGUUGUAAAGCACUUUUGUUGGGGAAGAAACCGGCCGGGUUAAUACCCUGGUUGAAUGACGGUACCCAAAGAAUAAGCACCGGCUAACUUCGUG
rnacentral:rRNA from 2 species